rnacentral:piRNA from 1 species
UCUAUCUUUAUUUAGUGUUGGAACGG